CAGUAGCCGCGGUAAUACGAAGGGGGCUAGCGUUGCUCGGAAUGACUGGGCGUAAAGGGCGCGUAGGCGGAUUGUUUAGUUAGGCGUGAAAUUCCUGGGCUUAACCUGGGGACUGCGCUUAAUACAGGCAGUCUAGAGUGAGGAAGAGGGUUGUGGAAUUCCCAGUGUAGAGGUGAAAUUCGUAGAUAUUGGGAAGAACACCGGUGGCGAAGGCGGCAACCUGGUCCUUGACUGACGCUGAGGCGCGAAAGCGUGGGGAGCGAACAGGAUUAGAUACCCCCGUAGUCCCUGUCUCUUAUAC
rnacentral:rRNA from 1 species